rnacentral:rRNA from 1 species
GAUGAACGCUGGCGGCGUGCCUAAUACAUGCAAGUCGAGCGAACAGACGAGGAGCUUGCUCCUCUGACGUUAGCGGCGGACGGGUGAGUAACACGUGGAUAACCUACCUAUAAGACUGGGAUAACUUCGGGAAACCGGAGCUAAUACCGGAUAAUAUAUUGAACCGCAUGGUUCAAUAGUGAAAGACGGUUUUGCUGUCACUUAUAGAUGGAUCCGCGCCGCAUUAGCUAGUUGGUAAGGUAACGGCUUACCAAGGCAACGAUGCGUAGCCGACCUGAGAGGGUGAGCGGCCACGUGGGGAGUGGGACACCGCACAAGAGGCUACGGGGAGCAGCAGAAGGGGAGCGUUGGAAAUGGGCGAUAGUCUGAACGAACAAUGGAGGGGGGGAGAAGAAGGGUUUUGGAUACUUAAACUUUGUUGGUAGAGAAGAAAGAGCUUGAGAAUGGAAAGUUAAGGAAGUGACGGUAACUAAUCAGAAAGCGACGGAUAAAUACGUG